rnacentral:siRNA from 1 species
CUAUUCGGAACCCUAGUCUGACCC